rnacentral:tRNA from 1 species
GGUUGUGUAGUGUAGCGGUUAGCACACGGGAUUCUGACACCUCCGAACCUUCCCGUGACCCCGGUUCGAAUCCGGGCACGACCU